rnacentral:rRNA from 1 species
UACGUAGGUGGCAAGCGUUGUCCGGAUUUACUGGGCGUAAAGGAUGCGUAGGCGGAUACUUAAGUCAGAUGUGAAAAAUCCCGAGCUUAACUUGGGAACUGCAUUUGAAACUGGGUAUCUAGAGUGCGGGAGAGGUAAGUGGAAUUCCUAGUGUAGCGGUGAAAUGCGUAGAGAUUAGGAAGAACACCAGUGGCGAAGGCGACUUACUGGACCAUAACUGACGCUGAGACGCGAAAGCUAGGGGAGCAAACAGG